UGGAGCUNNNNNNNNNNNNNNNNNNNNGUUUUGGGAUUUUGCCGGGUACUUUGUGUAUGGAUUGGAUGUGUUUGAGGCUUGGGCUAAAGCUUUAUUCACUGUACUUUGUGUCGGAGGCUUGUAAUACGGUGGGGCUCCGGCAGCAGGGGGGGAUGGACGUGGCCGUGGACUUGGACUUGUACCAGGCCGUCCCGCUGCUCUUCGCCGUCCUUGUCCUUAUCCUCGUCGUCGUCUGCGUGGAGCUGCGUGAAGCCAGGAAGGAGCAGCCCCGGGAGCUGCCGGCAGCUGAGGCUGCCAGGGAGAGCGGCACAGGGAGCCAAACGGCUGUGGCAGAGCAGCGGGAGCAGGCGGGGGAGGAGCGGAGCAGGGCGGUAGCUGAGCAGCGGGACCAGGCAGCGGGGGAGGUGAGUCCCGAGGCCGUUCCCAACCCUCCAACGGCCGAGAGUGUCCCCCGGAAGUCGCCCGCCGACCCCCAGCAGGAUGCAGGAGACCACGCAGCACUUCCCAGCAAGGCAGUGGAGGAACCGAGUCCCGCCGCUGUUCCGAACCCCGCAGCGGCCGAGAGUAUUCCCCGGAAGUCACCCACCGAGCCCCAGCAGGAUACAGGAGACCACGCAGCACUUCCCACCAAGGCAGAGAAGGAGGAUCCGGUCUCAGGAGAAGAGAAGCUGGUGGUGGGAGAACUGGCAAGCAGGGCAGCUACAUCAGCCCCAGUGACAAGUGCAGCAGCAUCAUCUGAGAGUUCUGACGGUUAUGAAUGGCUUUUGGGUGCCCUUGGGACCUGCCUGCUGAUUGUGAUGGUAGUCGGCAUGGUAGCACAGACACAGAGUGUGUUCUACCCACAACCAUUUUGUCUGAUCCCAAAAGUUAAGCAGAGUCAGGUCUGGGUCUUGUCUAGGGUUAGACAAGGAUAUAGGAGCACCAGGAGACUGUCCCCAAGGCUGGACAGUCAUGAGUGGCAGGGCAUGUGGGACAGUAUGGCCAGGUAUCUGAUCCACUGGGUCCCCUCCAGUGCUUUGGAAGCAUUGGAGGUGGAAGGCAGCUGUAUGGAGUCCCCAGCAGCAAGCUGUAGAACUGUUGAAGGGGACGGUGAAUGAUUUUGAGCCUGGUGGGUCCAGAUACUUCAGGCUAUCAGUCCAGAGAUGCAACAUAGAGAUGUCUCAUGAUCGAGGGGUGGACUUAAGAGUGAUGGUGUAUUCGAAAUGUGGGAUCUGGGCAUGACGUGAAUGGUAUGGAAUAAGGGGUGGAUAAUGUCAUGGUUUGAGCAUGUUUUAAGGGUGUUUUUUGUUCAAGGUUUUUUCCAGCCAGGUGGAGGAGGGGAGGCCGGGAGGAAGGAAAGACAGGACACCUGACCCAGGCUAGUCAAUGAGGUAUUCCAUACCAUAGCACGUGAUGCCCAGGAUGCAUACUGGGA
rnacentral:lncRNA from 14 species